GUUCGUUGGGUGCUUCAUCACAAGUGGGCCGAAUAGCCAAGGUGGAGUUUCUGCUAAUUCAUUAGUGCAAACUUCAGUUCCGCGGACCGGAGAACUCCUGUGCUGGUGCGCGAGUCGCUGAACGAGUUUUGCAGCGAAGGUUGAGUUAUUUUCGCUGGCAAAGGCCGGGAAGGAGAUCGAUACUCAUUCAACACGGUUCCCAGUGUAGCGAAGACAAGAAAGCGCGAUGGCGGCUAGUAGCACGAACCGUCGUGUUGUGGACUCGAAGGAGAUGUGCUGUUCGUGAUGACUGGCAAUCAAAGAGGUUGCUGGUGGAGUGCAGCAAACGAAAUGACCUUCUACUGAAGA